rnacentral:rRNA from 1 species
GACCGUGCAAAGGUAGCAUAAUCAUUUGCCUUAUAAUUGAAGGCUUGUAUGAAUGGUUUGACAAGAAUAGAUCUGUCUCUUUACAAUUAAAUAUAAUUUUAUUUUCAGGUGAAGAAGCCUGUAUUAAAUUGAAAGACAAGAAGACCCUAUCGAGCUUGAAAGCAAUUAAUAAACCUGAAAUCAUGUUAACAUUGAAUGAGUUAUUAAAAAUUUUAGUUGGGGCGACGGAGGAACAAGUAAAGCUUCCUUGUGCUAUAAAUACAGGCAGGUAGUGAUCCAAAUAUUUUGAUUAAAGGAAUUAGUUACCGUAGGGAUAACAGCAUUAUCUUUUUUAAGAGCUCAAAUCGAAAAAAAGGUUUGUGACCUCGAUGUUGGACCAGAAUGUCCUAAAGAUGCAGCCGUCUUUAAGGGUUGGUCUGUUCGACCAUUAAAAUUCUACGUGAUCUGAGUUCAGACCGGCGUGAGCCAGGUCAGUUUCUAUCUUCAAUUUCUUAACAUGGACUUAGUACGAAAGGAUUAGUCUAUGAUAAAAAUUAUUAUGCUUGAUGAAGUAUAAAAAUAGAUUUAAUAAAUAAAAGUUCUUGUGUAGAUCAAAUUAGCAAAGAUAAUGCAAUUGACUUAGGAUCAAUAGACAUAGGUGAAACCCCUUUAUUUGAUACAUUCAUAAAGAUGGCAGAUAAA